CCUACGGGUGGCAGCAGUGAGGAAUAUUGGUCAAUGGGCGCGAGCCUGAACCAGCCAAGUCGCGUGAGGGAAGACGGUCCUAUGGAUUGUAAACCUCUUUUGUCGGGGAGCAAAAGACGCCACGCGUGGCGUUCCGAGAGUACCCGAAGAAAAAGCAUCGGCAAACUCCGUGCCAGCAGCCGCGGUAAUACGGAGGAUGCGAGCGUUAUACGGAUUUAUUGGGUUUAAAGGGUGCGCAGGCGGAAGAUCAAGUCAGCGGUAAAAUUGAGAGGCUCAACCUCUUCGAGCCGUUGAAACUGGGUGUCUUGAGUGAGUGAGAGGUAUGCGGAAUGCGUGGUGUAGCGGUGAAAUGCAUAGAUAUCACGCAGAACUCCGAUUGCGAAGGCAGCAUACCGGCGCUCAACUGACGCUCAUGCACGAAAGUGUGGGUAUCGAACAGGAUUAGAUACCCCAGUAGUC
rnacentral:rRNA from 1 species